CAAGUGGCCACACCUGCAGCAUAUGGAAGUUCCCAAGCCAGGGAUCGAGCUACAGCCACUGUAGAAGCAACAGCAAGUAGCUAUGAGGUGAGCCACAAGGGAAGUCCUAAAUUACUUACUAACUUCUUUCUAUUCCUACAAAAUGUAAGCCCGUGGAGGGCAGGGAUUUUUGUUAUUUUAACCACUGCUGUGUUGCCUGUAGCUAUGUGGCAUAAAGUAGGCACUCAUUAAUAGCAGCCAAAUAAAUUAAAGGAAAAGCAAAAGAGAAAGGGAGGGAGGCAGGGGAGGAAAGAAGGGAAGGUGGAAGAGACGGAAAAAAGAAAGGUGAGAGGGAGGAAAGGACGAAGGAGAGGAAGUCAGCCAGUGCAGCGGAAGCACAGUGGACAGGGACCUGGACUGUGCGGGCCUUGUAGAUCACGGAACAGAAGCUGGAAUUGUGUUUAGAAGACAGAAUGCUUUGAAGGGUUACAAGGCAGGGAAGCCACAUGACCGAAUUUGUAGUUUAAAGAGCUGACUGGGGGGGGCCAUGUGGAAAACAGGUUAGAGAGAAGGAAGCAGGGACACUAGGUAAGGAGCUGAGGAAGCUAGAGAUGAGGGAACAGAGGCAAGGCAAUGAGAGAGAGAGAGAGAGAGAGAGAGAGAGAGAGAGAGAGAGAGAGAGAGGCAGAUGCAAGGAGGAAUCAAUCAAUAACUCAAUCAAUGUAUUGCUUCUCAGCUCCAGAUUUUCCCUUCAUUGUCUGCUCUGUGCAAAUGAAGAUGGACCCUUUAAAUAUUUUUUCCUUUGCCAGAUGCUGUGAUGUUAAGCUUUGCCUGCAGAGGCACUGGAAAGGCACCGCAUGAGGAUCAGGCUCUUCUUCCUGGUUCCACUGUGCUCCUCUUGGCAGGAUAAACAGAGUAUCAAGGAUAAACACAAUAUCAGCAUUUCUGGUGUCCUACAGAGGCCUGGCCACCUUCUUUAAGAUCUUUUCUAAUUUGAGACAACUGGAAAGAUAGCUGGUCUCAGCUUGUAAAAGCUAUAAGCUUUCAUGUUUUCGUAAUUAUUUUUCUUACAUAUAAAAGGAUUUGGGCACUUUGUUGUUCAUCCUCAUUCAAAUGCUAAUACCACAGUGCUCUGAGUAUGAUAAUUUUAGAAUCUGUUUUACUACACUGUAAAGCAAGGACCACCUCACUAUUCUCUGUCUAAGUUUUCUUGGCUAGUCUAAAAAAUUUAUUCUUCCAUAUGAACACACAUCAUUUAACCUAAUUCCCCACCCACCCCUAAAAGAAUUCCCCCUUGGAGUUGUAAUUAAUUUCCAUUAAAUUUAUAUAUAUUUAGUCUUCCCAUUCAGGAACAUGGUUUGUAUUUCCAUUUUUUUCUCGAUCAUCCUUAAUAGUUUACAAUUUUCUUCAUACAGAUCCUGUGCCUUCCUUGUGAUACUUAUCAUUAAGUAUUUUACAAUCUUUUAACACUAUUUUUUUUAUAUGAAGUAUUUUUCUCCUCACCAAAGCAGUUCAUCCCAUGCUUCCCCGGCCAACAUCCCAAUGACACCCAAGAACCUUUUAGUUCCCACUCACCCCCACACCACCCCAUGUCAUGAGGUCCGAGUUUUGCUGGAAUCACUUAGAGUAUUUCACUCAGACGACAAGGUUUCCUCUUGCAAUAUGUCUCUUCUAUUUCAAGGACCCUUACUUAGCAUUUAUAUUACACUUCCUUGUCACUUUCAAUAUGCCACAUACCAUACGUAAUAUAAUGAAUGGUAUAGAAUACAUAUAUUUCAAAAUGCAUUGUCCAGCACUGUUCUGUCUCCUCCUCCCGCCGUGGGAGGAAUGUUUGAUUAGAGUAUUUUGCUCAAAUUGGAGUCUAUGGGUGAUAUAAUCUGAAUCCUUGCACACCCACAUAGAGCUUUCUUUUCCCUUAAAGGUGAAUAAUACCCAAAUUGCAUAUAAGAUCCUUGGAGUGCAGUCAUUUUUCUCUAGUCUGCUUCUUACACCAUCACUAUAGUGUUGCAAAUGAGAAGAGUCUGUUUUGUCAUUAUAGUUUUAACUUUUUCUUUUGUAUCUUUAUCCUCUUUUGAAUCUAACUUUUCCUUUUCUUUUGCAUCUUUUUUUUUUUUCCCUGUCUUUUUAGGGCCACACCCACGGCAUAUGGAAGUUACCACACUAGGGGUCGAAUCAGAGCAUAGCUGUCAGCCUACACUACAGCCACCACAGCACCACAAGAUCCGACCCCUGUCUGCGACCUACACCACAGCUCGCGGAAACGCCGGAUCCUUAACCCACUGAGUGAGGCCAGGGAUAGAAUUCAUGUCCUCAGGGACACUAGUCAGGUUUGUCACCACUGAGCCACAAUGGGAAAUCCUCUUUACAUCUUUAUCUUUCUAUCAAGGAGCUUGUGGGAUUUUUUUUCCUUUAUCACUGAAUUCAGGAAUUUUAUCAGAACAUGCCUAGCUUUGUGACUUUUCUCAUCAAUUUUGUCUGGAACCCAGUGAACUCAUUCAAUCUUCAAUUUUUGUUCGACUCAGGGAAAUUUUUUCUAUUACUUAUUUCUCCUUCUAAAAUUAUUAUUAUUUGCAUUUUUGGUUUCCUGGAUCUAUCCUGCAAGCCCAACUUUCAUGAGUUUCCAUUCCAACUCUUGGUAUUUUUGUUCUAAGCUUUGAAACUGUUAUUUUACUUGAACUGAGUUUAAAAAAAGAGAGGACAGAAGAGAUGUGCUCAAGCUGCCAUUUUCCCAGAAUCAUUUCAUAGAGGGAUGUUUAAAGGCUAUCUUAUCACUCAAAUAGGAGGGGAAAAUGUCUUUAAGUGCUCAAGAGAUAAUUACUUAAAAAUUAAUAUUUAAAAAUUAAAUUUAAAACCCAAAUAGCUAUUUGUUAGAAAUUACUGGAUUGAAAGCUCCUUGAAAGCAGAAAUCUGCCUUCUAUGCAUCUCUCACCCUCUCAACAGAUCUCGUUAAUAAAUGUGCUCAAUACAUCUUUAUUGAUAUAUUGAUAUACUGAGCAUCUUACAUGUUCCAAAAGGUUGAAACCUUGUCCCUAUACCCAGAAAAUCUAAAGUCUAACAAGGAGGCAAAAUAACUUAAAUGAAACAAAGAAAUAGCCAAUCAGUUAAGUCUUAAUGGUUACUGAAUACAAUAGCCUAAAAAUAGAAGAGAUUAAUAAGGACUAAAGUAGUCAGCUGGUUUCAUGACAAAAAGGACAUCAACCAGGGCACGAAACAGGGGUAAAUUUCAGUAGGAGAAAAGAAAAUAAUCACUGCAAAGGCACAGAGAUGGGAAUGAGCAAGUCAGGGAAAAGGGUGAGGAAACCAGUCUGUGAAGAAGAGUCUGUCAGCUUACUAGUACGGAAGAAUAUAGACAGGGCAGUUGAUGGUGGAGUUCAGAUUCAUUCACUUGUCAAAUAAGUACGGAAAAGCACUUAUGCUGAAGGAUGCUGCAUGCCAGCCUCAAGCAGCUUAAAAAAAUACUAAAAAAAAAAAAAAUAAAAAAAAAUAAUAAAGCAGCUUACAAAGAGAUAAGGAUACUUAUGCAAAUGAUCAUUUUAUAACCUUAAGAUCAUUGGAAAAAUAGCUAUAAUAUAGGAGUUACAUUAGAGACUAGAGCUCAGAGAACCGACAAAUGAGGAAGCUGUCUUUUUUAAAACAGGAAAUGCAUCUUCCAGGACUUCCCUUUGUCUCCUUGAAGAAAAAAGUAAGCAAAGAACCAUGGGAAGAAAACUCAUAUCAAUGCUUUUGCUAACAUGUUCAAUUCAAAAAUGAAAGUUUGGGAUUUCCCGUCAUGGCAAUGUCACAACGGAAACGAAUCCAACUAGUAUCCAUGAGGAUUCGGAUUCGAUCCCUGGCUUCACUCAGUCGGUUGGAGAUCCAGCAUUGCUGUGAGCUGUAGUGUAGGUUGCAAACUCAGCUUGUGUUGCUGUGGCUGUGGUGUAGGCCGGCAGCUCUGAUUCAACCCCUAGCCUGGGCACUUCCAUACGCUGAGAUGUAGCCGUAAAAAGACGUGACUAAAGAAAGAAAGAUUGAUUCUCCAAAUAAGAAAGGAAAUCCAAUAAACUAAGAAUGACAACUCUUUACAAUUUUAAGAAAAAAAAAAAAAACUGUAACUAUGUAUGGUGAUGAAUGUUAAUGAAAUUUAUUGAGGUGAUAAUUUCCCAAUGUACAGAAAUAUCAAGUGAUUAUGUUGUAUACCUGAAACUAACGAAAUGCUGUAUGUCAAGUACACCUCAAUCAAAAAAAGGAAAAAAAACUGAAAACAGCCUUCUUGCUUCUGUCACAGAUUUCUUAAACAAGAAAUUAUCAGGGGAGUUCCCGUCUUAGAGCAGUGGUUAACGAAUCUGACUAGGAACCAUAAGGUUGCGGGUUCGGUCCCUGCCCUUGCUCAGUGGGUUAACGAUCCGGCAUUGCCCUGAGCUGUUGUGGUGUAGGUUGCAGACUCGGCUUGGAUCCCGCGUUGCUGUGGCUCUGGCGUAGGCCAGUGGCUAUAGCUCCGAUUGGACCCCUAGCCUGGGAACCUCCAUAUGCCGAGGGAGCGGCCCAAGAAAUAGCAAAAAGCCAAAAAAAAAAAAAAAAAAAAA
rnacentral:lncRNA from 1 species